rnacentral:rRNA from 1 species
UACGUAGGGGGCUAGCGUUGUCCGGAAUCAUUGGGCGUAAAGCGCGUGUAGGCGGUCCGGUAAGUCCGCUGUGAAAGUCGGGGGCUCAACCCUCGAAUGCCGGUGGAUACUGUCGGGCUAGAGUGCGGAAGAGGCGAGUGGAAUUCCUGGUGUAGCGGUGAAAUGCGCAGAUAUCAGGAGGAACACCAAUUGCGAAGGCAGCUCGCUGGGGCGUAACUGACGCUGAGACGCGAAAGCGUGGGGAGCAAACAGG